rnacentral:rRNA from 1 species
ACGAACGCUGGCGGCGUGCUUAACCCAUGCAAGUCGAACGGAAAGGCCCUGCUUUUGUGGGGUGCUCGAGUGGCGAACGGGUGAGUAACACGUGAGUAACCUGCCCUUGACUUUGGGAUAACUUCAGGAAACUGGGGCUAAUACCGGAUAGGAGCUCCUGCUGCAUGGUGGGGGUUGGAAAAUUUCGGCGGUUGGGGAUGGACUCGCGGCUUAUCAGCUUGUUGGUGGGGUAGUGGCUUACCAAGGCUUUGACGGGUAGCCGGCCUGAGAGGGUGACCGGCCAAAUUGGGACUGAGAUACGGCCCAGACUCCUACGGGAGGCAGCAGUGGGGAAUAUUGCACAAUGGGCGGAAGCCUGAUGCAGCAACGCCGCGUGCGGGAUGACGGCCUUCGGGUUGUAAACCGCUUUCGCCUGUGACGAAGCGUGAGUGACGGUAAUGGGUAAAGAAGCACCGGCUAACUACGUG